AACCCUGAGCUGCCUCGGAGAGUCCCUCUGACCCCAGAGGGACUAGCCACAAUCUCCAGUUUCCACCAUUGCCUCUUCCACCAGCUUCAAACAACCUUUCUACCCAGUCCCAGGAUAACAAGCACACUUACAUUUCCUGGCUUUCAGGUUUCUUAACGUUUUCCCUGUGAUUUGUUUUCAGCAUCUGUGUAGCAAAGAAACCUAGACUCCUGAUCCAGGACAGGAAGACUACAAAAAGAUUGAAAGAAUGGUGGGCUCCAGACAGGAAGAGAACACAAGAUUGUGGAAUCCCGCCCCCUCAUCACUGGUCCUGUGAGGAUGGACAGUCCUCACCUAAGAGACUGGUUGGAAAAGGCUUCAGCACUUCCCCAUUUUCAUUGUUGAAAGAUUAAGGAUCAGAGUUGGGGAUAUAGCUUAGUCAGUAGAGUGCUUGUUUUGCUUAUUUAAGGCCAUGGAUUCAAUUUCCUGCACCACACACACACACACACACACACAGAAUAAGUGAAGGACUGUGGGGAAUGGGGUUGUCAUUAAGUGGUAGAGUGCUUUUCUAGUAUGUGUGAGGUACUGGGUUGAACACCCAGCACCACAUUAAAAAAAAAGAAAAAAGGAAAGAAAGAAACAAACAAACUAAUAAUGAUAUUGUAUCUA
rnacentral:lncRNA from 1 species